AAGGGAGCAAUCCUGAGUAAAGUGGCGUACGGUUGACUAACGCGUAGGUAAUCUACCCUAGAGUCUGGAAUAACCUGCCGAAAGGCGGGCUAAUACUGGAUAGAGCGACGGAAUCCGUAAUUGGGUUUUUCGGUAAAGGAAGGAAGUAAUUCCCUUUGCUCUGGGAUGAGCCUGCAUCUCAUUAGCUAAUUGGUGGGGUAAAGGCCUACCGAGGCUAUGAUGGGUAGCUGGUCUGAUAGGAUGAUCAGCCACACUGGAACUGAAACACGGCCCACACUCCUACGGGAGGCAGCAGUGUAGAAUCUUGCUCAAUGGACUAAAGUCUGACGCAGCCACGCCGCGUGAGUGAAAAACGCCUUCGGG
rnacentral:rRNA from 1 species